rnacentral:rRNA from 1 species
AAUACAUUUUUACAAUACUGUGAACAAACCAGAGUGUAUAAAACAUGUAAUAUAUUAUAAUAUUUAGCAAUGAAUGUUUUAUCAUGGAAUAUUGCUUUUUAAUAUAAUAUCGAUGGAGAUAGUUGGAGUUAAGAGUACUGAUAGGCGAGCGGUGAAAUGCAUUGACCCUAUUAAGACUAACAAAAGCGAAAGCACUUAACUAGAUUAUUCUCUUUGUAUUAUUACAAUGAAGAGCGAAGGUUGGGGGAACAAAGAGGAUCAGAUACCCUCGUAGUCCUAUUUUUACAUCAAACUAUGGGAUUUCAAUCACACUUAUGUUCUACAAUAUUUUUUAUUAUAUAUAAUUGAGUACUUAAUUGUUUACUCUUAUAUUUAAUAUUAUUAUUUUUAUUAUUCAUUAUAUGUACUUUGAGCUCAUAUAAUUAUAUAGGUGAGAUGUAAGCAUUAUAGGUGAAUAAUAUAUAAGUAAUAUUAUAUUAUUAUGAUCCUUAUUUAUAAAAAUGUAAUGUGAUG